UUGGGCAGGCCAUACGGACGCCAAAAAGUGUCCCUGGCCGCCUACACCCACUAUACAUCCACAAACCCGUGUUCACUGUCUUGGAGAAAGGCUUCAGAGAAGUUUUUUGUGGCCUCUCUUGGGGUCUUUCUUCGCUACAAACUCGAAUGGUUAGUAUGAACGUGGAACUUGGUUGGACCGUCACUGGCCAACAAACUAUACACAACUUUCGACAACGGAUCUCUUGGUUCUCCCAUCGAUGAAGAACGCAGCGAAACGCGAUAGGUAAUGUGAAUUGCAGAAUUCCGUGAAUCAUCGAAUCUUUGAACGCACCUUGCGCUCUAUGGCAAUCCGUAGAGCAUGCCUGUUUGAGUGCCAUGAAAUCUCCCACCCCAAGCGGUUUUUAAAUGAAACGGC
rnacentral:misc_RNA from 1 species